GCCGCGUGUGUGAAGAAGGCCUUAUGGUUGUAAAGCACUUCAAGCGAGGAGGAGGCUACUUUAGUUAAUACCUAGAGAUAGUGGACGUUACUCGCAGAAUAAGCACCGGCUAACUCUGUGCCAGCAGCCGCGGUAAUACAGAGGGUGCGAGCGUUAAUCGGAUUUACUGGGCGUAAAGCGUGCGUAGGCGGCUUAUUAAGUCGGAUGUGAAAUCCCCGAGCUUAACUUGGGAAUUGCAUUCGAUACUGGUGAGCUAGAGUAUGGGAGAGGAUGGUAGAAUUCCAGGUGUAGCGGUGAAAUGCGUAGAGAUCUGGAGGAAUACCGAUGGCGAAGGCAGCCAUCUGGCCUAAUACUGACGCUGAGGUACGAAAGCAUGGGGAGCAAACAGGAUUAGAUACCCUGGUAGUCCAUGCCGUAAACGAUGUCUACUAGCCGUUGGGGCCUUUGAGGCUUUAGUGGCGCAGCUAACGCGAUAAGUAGACCGCCUGGGGAGUACGGUCGCAAGACUAAAACUCAAAUGAAUUGACGGGGGCCCGCACAAGCGGUGGAGCAUGUGGUUUAAUUCGAUGCAACGCGAAGAACCUUACCUGGCCUUGACAUACUAGAAACUUUCCAGAGAUGGAUUGGUGCCUUCGGGAAUCUAGAUACAGGUGCUGCAUGGCUGUCGUCAGCUCGUGUCGUGAGAUGUUGGGUUAAGUCCCGCAACGAGCGCAACCCUUUUCCUUACUUGCCAGCAUUUCGGAUGGGAACUUUAAGGAUACUGCCAGUGACAAACUGGAGGAAGGCGGGGACGACGUCAAGUCAUCAUGGCCCUUACGGCCAGGGCUACACACGUGCUACAAUGGUCGGUACAAAGGGUUGCUACACAGCGAUGUGAUGCUAAUCUCAAAAAGCCGAUCGUA
rnacentral:rRNA from 1 species